rnacentral:rRNA from 1 species
GGAAUUUUCCGCAAUGGGCGAAAGCCUGACGGAGCAACGCCGCGUGAGGGAUGAAGGCCUCUGGGCUGUAAACCUCUUUUAUCAAGGAAGAAGAUCUGACGGUACUUGAUGAAUAAGCCACGGCUAAUUCCGUGCCAGCAGCCGCGGUAAUACGGGAGUGGCAAGCGUUAUCCGGAAUUAUUGGGCGUAAAGCGUCCGCAGGCGGUCUUGUAAGUCUGUCGUUAAAGCGUGGAGCUUAACUCCAUUUAAGCGAUGGAAACUGCAAGACUAGAGUGUGGUAGGGGCAGAGGGAAUUCCCGGUGUAGCGGUGAAAUGCGUAGAUAUCGGGAAGAACACCAGUGGCGAAGGCGCUCUGCUGGGCCAUAACUGACGCUCAUGGACGAAAGCCAGGGGAGCGAAAGGGAUUAGAUACCCCUGUAGUCCUGGCCGUAAACGAUGAGCACUAGGUGUCGGGGGAAUCGACCCCCUCGGUGUCGUAGCCAACGCGUUAAGUGUUCCGCCUGGGGAGUUCGCACGCAAGUGUGAAACUCAAAGGAAUUGACGGA